UUCCUUUCUCCCCAUGGGGCUUUUCCCACAACUGAGGUUUGAGGACAGAUGAUGGCUAGAGAAUUCAUUUUGGAGCAGCACAGCGGAGGAAAACAUGCUUGCUAUCAGUGUUGUUUCUGCUGUGUUUGUGACGGAGGAAAUGAGAGCAGGGGCUGGGGGGGAGUGAGCAGGACUGAGGAAGAGAAAGGAGAAGAAACAAGGGUGAUAAGGGCCAAGCAGGCCUCUUAUGAACUUCUCUUGGUCUGUGCAUGUGAUAGGCAGUGGAAUAUGAAAGGAAAUUGCUCUCUGAACCCUGGCAUCUGUUCUCUUUACAAUGAGUAUCUUCAUGGCAGCUUUGUAUUCAUCCAUUUUCUUACACCAGAGCCAGUGGGUUACUGCAGAUAGGAGAAGCCAGUAGCCAUGUAUUUACUGCACCAUCCAUACACAAACCCUUUGUUUCAGACAAACCUCUUAACUGGGCUGACCUGCAAGUUUGGGUGAGGUGGAGGAUGAGGCAUAAAAUGAUCACAACAAAGCCUGAGUCCUUGCUUGGAAAGAGCCCUGGUGCCUGCUGGGACAAGGACAGGAGCAUCCACUGAAUUCCUCUGGAGGUAAAGGGACCUUCCCUACAUCAGGAGCCAAAAAGCAAGGUACUAUGCUAGGAUGUUACUGGAAACUGGGAAAAUGUAUCGGGGGUGGGGGGGAGGGUACGUCUGCCCUAUUCUUUUAUUAUUGCCUUAGCAUCCGUAACUAGCUGCUGCUGCUGGAAAGCCUGGGUGCGACAGGCCUGCCCUAGCAGAGCGCAGCUAUUCUGGCAGCCUGACACAAUUCCUCCACGAGGAGCAGUCACACUAAACAGCACCGUUCUUGGAUGUGUUAUCAUGAAUGCAUCCAAGUGUUUACAGGAUUUUGACUUUAGUGAAGUUUGCAAGGCUUCUGCUUUGGUCUAGCUUUUUGGGCAUCAGUGGAGAUGCCCAGUGCAUUGUUGUGACAGCCAGGGGCUGCCCUGCUUGCUGCUACCAAAGCUUUUGGGGACACACUCCCAGGCCUGUGGCACGUGUUGCAGGGCUGCAGUGUAUUUUAACUAUGGCUAAAAGAAAAGAAAAUAAAAAAAAAAAAAAAAAAAAGCAUCUGAACACAGACAGAGACCUGGCUGAGUCCCGGGAGAGGGGCUGGAGCUGGGAGGAAUUUCACUGCAGCAAUGAUCAGCAUCUUCUGUGGAGAAGAGAGCAGCAAGAAUGUGAAGCAUCUGUCUUAUCUGCACCGUACUGUGACGAGAGAGUCACCCUCUGCUACGAGCCCGUUUCGGUGGCAGCAAAACUCCCGCGUGCCUCGCCGCAGUCAUUUCCCAGGAAAGGUCGGCAGGAGGUGGGCACCAGGGCAGCUGAUUCAGCAAUUGCUCUGAAUUCAGCUUUUCUUUUUAUUCCGUAUCAAAAAAUAAGAAGCUGUUGUUUACGCCGGGCUCACUGAACGGCCCCUGUUCCCAUGAUACCUAGAGGAGGCUGACAAUUAUUCUCCCUGGCUUCUCCCCGGAGCUAUUUUCUUUGCUGGCGGGGAGGAAAUUGUUCAUGUUUCAUUGGCGCUACCGUUGUUCCAGCUGCCAGAGCAGGAAUGUUUGUCCGCCAGCCUGCAUCAGUGGCAGCGGCUCCCCUUCGGACCUGCCAUCUGUUAGCUUAUCGCUGCUCUUAUCUGUGCCAUGGCAGGGGCUGGGGGCACAUCCCCCUGUGCCCAGCACUGCUGCAGCAUGCCAGCAGCAGCGGGGGGGGGCACAGCGGGGGCAGGUAAGGGACACACGGGCAGGAGGGGGGGCUGCUCUGCCCAGAUCCUCUAGGAAAGCUAAACUGCUUCUCCACAUCUCUCCCCGGCCGUGAUUGAUCCCUUAAUGAAAUGCCUCCUUAAAUAUCCGCUGUAAAUAGCAGCUGCAGUGUAACACAGGGGGCUGCUAGUCCCUGAUUUACAAAACAAGGGCUCGUAUAAACAUCCUCUUUGGGAAGCCUUGCAUCAUCUGGGGGAAAAAAAAUAAUAAUAAUAAUUUCACCCGGUUCUUAGCCCACUGGAAUUCUCUGUACCAUGGGGUCCUCCCUGCUCAGGAGGUUAUUUUUGGGGGGCUUACUCCUGGGGAGGCCUGGAUUUUCAGAUGUUGCAGUCUCAGACCUGACUGUGCUGCGAUUGCUGUUGUAAGAACUAAGACCCGAGAAACGAGACCUAAAAAACAAGACCCGCGGCAUCCCUGGCCACCCCCCCAGGACUGUACUUUGAGCUUGGCAGUGCUAAACCCCCUGUCCGGAGCCGUGUCGGUCAUCUCAUUUUCCAACCCGUGUUCCAACCUCUUGUUUCCCUUUGUCUGGAGCCGGCGAGGGGUUGCUUUCUCCCCACGGAGCGUGCAGUGCCGGAGCCGCGCCGCUGAGCGGCACCGUCCAUCCAGGCACCUCGUCCUGCAGGGCACCCACGCUGCUCCCCGAGCAGGUGCCCCCCAGGGACACCUCACCCCUGCAGGGGCCUGAGCAUCAUCCCCCAAAGCCAAGGGGUGAACCUAUAAAACAUCAGGGGAUGGGGAAAGCUUGGCUGAUAACCCAAGCCACCCCUACGUCACCAUGUUGCAUCCUAACGCAAAGCACCUUUCGUGAUUAACAGCAUUUGGACUUGGUAGGAGACAUUCUCAUUUAUUUAUUUAUUUUCCCCCCUCUCCUUUCUCUUUUUUGUUUUUGAAUUUGCAUUUAUUGCUUCCAGCUGUCCAAAUGAUCCGAGAUUAAAAUGUUCUUGACAGCACUGUCAUUUUGGAGAUUUUAUUUUCUUUCUUUUUUGAGAUGAAACUUAGAAGCAAAAGUUUUCAACGUUAAAAUAACUCUGUGUUCGGUGUUUGAUGUGCUAUGAAUGAUAUUUCCAGUAAAUGGCCACAUGUAAGUCAAUAUUUAAUUUGUGUCUACUUUCACUUUCUGACAAUUGUGACUGUUUUUUGACCUGGAAAUCUGGAAGCUUGUUUUUUCAACCUGAUUUAAUAAGAUUAGUGAAGAUACAAAAGUAAACUGGUAAAAAGGGGAACAUUUCAAGUCCUGUCAAACAGAAACAGGAUCUGCACUUUCUGUUAAUCCAGUUCCUUCAGUUUCUGACAGCACACCGUCCCAGCUGUCCUCAAAGCCCUGAUCUGAGGACUCGUGGCCGGGGCUGGUGCAGGACCACGUGGGGCUGUGGGGGAACACAUGCCGGUGUCCUCGUCCCCACACCAUGCAGACCAGCAGGACAGCACAGCUCCUUUCUGGUAAAAACCUUUCCAGAGAAAACCACAGGGAAGGGAAUGACUGCUGGGGUGCACCUCCAUCCUGCCCUGGUCCUGACGUGUGUGUUUGGCUCACCACUUUCCCUGUGGCCCCUGUGUCUGCUUUGCCUGGCGAAGCCACUUCCCCCCUCCACCUUUCCCGGCCCAGAAAUGCAAUUUCUUUCCUCAUUCCCGUGUGCAUUUUGGAGAUUCCAGCCAGGCGUGACGCUCUCCAUUCUGGAGAGCAGGCUUGGUCCUGCAGCCUAACACACCGCCAGUGCGUUUUUAAACAAAGGACUGCAAGUUCUUCAAGCAACAGGGGGGACAGUUCGCCAGUUCCUUGUGUAAUAAAACGGGGUUAGUUUAUGUACUUUUAGAGAGGACAGUUUGGGGGUUGACAGCCAGAGCUGGAAGCCUGAGGAAUGCGUAUUUGUUGUUGCCAGAUGACUUGAUAGAUGACACCACUCACACCAGUAAUCAGCAGCUUUAAGCCAGUGCUUGGAGGAAACACCCUGCAAAGCCACCCGCAAGCCCAGCUUCCCAAAGUUACACAGCGUACCUAAACCUCACUGGAAUCUGAUUAUCUGUAGCCCAACAUAAUCAGUGGGGACCUUGCAUGAACAUCAGCUGCAAUGACUUAAUUGUUGGUGCUUUUUCUUUCAGCAAGCUAACGCUGGACCAAGCAAGGCUAUCCCAAGAGGUCAGCAGCCAGUUGGAAAACCCAGGAGCAGUUAUGGGAGCCCAUGGCUGCAUAUCGCUGCUGUGUAACAAUGUGUGUUGUUUUCUCUGUCUUACAUGUUUUAAGGGAAAAUAAAAUAAUAAAAUAAAAUAAAAUAAAAUAAAAUACUGUGGCCUGUUUUUCCUUUCCUCUCCAGACCAGAGUGAAAUUCUCAUAGCACUACCCUUCCUCCCACAAAAGCCCUUACUCAAAGACUGGUGGCACAACAAACAUUUUUUUUUUCUUUUUUUUUUCUUUUUUUUUUUUUUCCUGAAGGAAAUACAGGCAACAGAGGGUCCUUUUGCCAGUCCCAUCCUUUCACUGGCGUUGAAUUCAGAAAGGCUGCUCCUUGACAGUAGUCCUGCCAAGCCUAAAUGAGCUGUGUCAGCUCGGGUUUGGAUGCUUUCCCUCUUGGUGCCGGGCAUUUUUUUCUGCAGUCGUUGUAGGGCACAGGCAAAUUAGGCAGCUGCUGAGUAGAUAGAGCUGCAAAAUGGCCAACCACCACUUUGCUAGGGCCGCGGAGCCAGGUGUCCCACUGUGGGACAUCCUGCAUCCUGCCCCUCACCCUCCCCUUUCUGUGGCAGAAGAAGACCCACCACCUCCUCUCCUUGUUCUUCACAGUCAGAAAAGCAAAAUGAAGCCUCUUCCAAAGUGUUGAGCAGCCUCGAGGUGACUGCCCAGCUGGGACACCUGUCCGGUGACACACCACACCAUCUCCAAAAUGCACUGUGCCUGUGGGCACCCCUGCACUGUCAGGGCUUGCUGGGGGAGGAAGAAAGUUCACACAGCCUGGAUGAACAGCAGAGCUGCAGCCCCACAGUGCUUUGUUUAGGAAAACAGCUGCCUUUUUUUUUUCCUGUGUGGUCUGAGCAACAUGCAAGCAAGGACCAAAGCACUUGCAAGCCACGGUGGUGGUAUGAAAGCAGUAAUUGCCUCACUUGUGUGGGGAUCCCAGUGGAAGCAUUGGGAAGUGUCAGCCAGCUGUGUCCCCUGCCCUCCUCACGCUCCUGCUCACCAUGGGGAAGGUGGAGAGUCACCUCCCACACCCGAGCAGGUUGCUGGUAAUGUCUGUGACACGUUUGCCCCUUCUGCCCUCAUAUCCUGCAUCUCAGGGGCUUCCUCCUAGCUGAAAAUAGAGGGCUGGGGAAUGACCUAUCUGUCUGCCCAAAAUUACAGGGGGAGGAAAAGCCCUUUUUUUUUUGUUUGUUUUGUUUAUUUAUUUAUUUUGUAUUUGUGUUGCUAGCAUAACUGAAGAUCCCAGCUGAAGCUGUAUUCAGGGUUCUACCAGCACUUCAUAAAAAGGUGGACGUGUCCUGAGGACCCUUCCAGGAAGCAAUGACAAACGGUGGAAGUUGUUAAGAGGAUAGCGAGAGUGUCUAAUAAAACACACUAAAAUGAACAUCUGCUUUUUGGCUGGGGGUUACUGUAAACAAAAUUAUAUCAGUUAUCUCUGA